rnacentral:rRNA from 1 species
GAUGAACGCUGGCGGCGUGCCUAAUACAUGCAAGUCGAGCGAACAGAUGAGGAGCUUGCUCCUCUGACGUUAGCGGCGGACGGGUGAGUAACACGUGUAUAACCUACCUAUAAGACUGGGAUAACUUCGGGAAACCGGAGCUAAUACCGGAUAAUAUAUUGAACCGCAUGGUUCAAUAGUGAAAGACGGUUUUGCUGUCACUUAUAGAUGGAUCCCCGCCGCAUUAGCUAGUUGGUAAGGUAACGGCUUACCAAGGCGACGAUGCGUAGCCGACCUGAGAGGGUGAUCGGCCACACUGGAACUGGGACACGGUCCAGACUCCUACGGGAGGCAGCAGUAGGGAAUCUUCCGCAAUGGGCGAAAGCCUGACGGAGCAACGCCGCGUGAGUGAUGAAGGUCUUCGGAUCGUAAAACUCUGUUAUUAGGGAAGAACAAAUGUGUAAGUAACUAUGCACGUCUUGACGGUACCUAAUCAGAAAGCCACGGCUAACUACGUG